rnacentral:rRNA from 1 species
GACGAACGCUGGCGGCGUGCUUAACACAUGCAAGUCGAACGGAAAGGCCCCCUUGUGGGGUACUCGAGUGGCGAACGGGUGAGUAACACGUGAGUAACCUACCCUUGACUUUGGGAUAACUUCAGGAAACUGGGGCUAAUACCGGAUCGGAGCUCCUGCUGCAUGGUGGGGGUUGGAAAGUUUCGGCGGUUGGGGAUGGACUCGCGGCUUAUCAGCUUGUUGGUGGGGUAGUGGCUCACCAAGGCUUUGACGGGUAGCCGGCCUGAGAGGGUGACCGGCCACAUUGGGACUGAGAUACGGCCCAGACUCCUACGGGAGGCAGCAGUGGGGAAUAUUGCACAAUGGGCGGAAGCCUGAUGCAGCAACGCCGCGUGCGGGAUGACGGCCUUCGGGUUGUAAACCGCUUUCGCCUGUGACGAAGCGUGAGUGACGGUAAUGGGUAAAGAAGCACCGGCUAACUACGUG